UGGGGUGUAGCUCAGCCGUAGAGCACUUGCCUAGCAUACAAGAGACUCUGGGUUCAAAACCCAGCACCUCAA
rnacentral:tRNA from 1 species